UGGGGAAUAUUGCACAAUGGGCGCAAGCCUGAUGCAGCCAUGCCGCGUGUGUGAAGAAGGCCUUCGGGUUGUAAAGCACUUUCAGCGGGGAGGAAGGCGUUAAGGUUAAUAACCUUGGCGAUUGACGUUACCCGCAGAAGAAGCACCGGCUAACUCCGUGCCAGCAGCCGCGGUAAUACGGAGGGUGCAAGCGUUAAUCGGAAUUACUGGGCGUAAAGCGCACGCAGGCGGUCUGUCAAGUCGGAUGUGAAAUCCCCGGGCUCAACCUGGGAACUGCCUUUGAAACUGGCAGGCUAGAGUCUUGUAGGGGGGGGUAGAAUUCCAGGUGGAGCGGUGAAAUGCGUAGAGAUCUGGAAGAAUACCGGUGGCGAAGGCGGCCCCCUGGACGAAGACUGACGCUCAGGUGCGAAAGCGUGGGGGGCAAACAGG
rnacentral:rRNA from 1 species